UACGAAGGGGGCUAGCGUUGUUCGGAAUUACUGGGCGUAAAGCGCGCGCAGGCGGUUCUCCAAGUCAGUGGUGAAAGCCCGGAGCUCAACUCCGGAAUUGCCAUUGAAACUGUUGAACUCGAGGACGAGAGAGGUGAGUGGAAUUCCGAGUGUAGAGGUGAAAUUCGUAGAUAUUCGGAAGAACACCAGUGGCGAAGGCGACUCACUGGACACAUAUUGACGCUGAGGUGCGAAAGCGUGGGGAGCAAACAGG
rnacentral:rRNA from 1 species